rnacentral:rRNA from 1 species
AUUGAACGCUGGCGGCAGGCCUAACACAUGCAAGUCGAGCGAGCGGCGGACGGGUGAGUAAUGUCUGGGAAACUGCCUGAUGGAGGGGGAUAACUACUGGAAACGGUAGCUAAUACCGCAUACCAUCAGAUGUGCCCAGAUGGGAUUAGCUGGUAGGUGGGGUAACGGCUCACCUAGGCGACGAUCCCUAGAUGGUCUGAGAGGAUGACCAGCAACACGGGAACUGAGACACGGUCCAGACCCCUACGGGAGGCAGCAGUGGGGAAGAUUGCACAAUGGGCGCAAGCCUGAUGCAGCCAUGCCGCGUGGGUGAAGAAGGCCUUCGGGUUGUAAAGCACUUUCAGCGGGGAGGCGUUACCCUCAGAAGAAGCACCGGCGAACUCCGUGCCAGCAGCCGCGGUAAUUC